UACGUAGGGUGCAAGCGUUAAUCGGAAUUACUGGGCGUAAAGCGUGCGCAGGCGGUGAUGUAAGACAGGUGUGAAAUCCCCGGGCUUAACCUGGGAACUGCAUUUGUGACUGCAUCGCUGGAGUGCGGCAGAGGGGGAUGGAAUUCCGCGUGUAGCAGUGAAAUGCGUAGAUAUGCGGAGGAACACCGAUGGCGAAGGCAAUCCCCUGGGCCUGCACUGACGCUCAUGCACGAAAGCCAGGGGAGCGAACGGG
rnacentral:rRNA from 1 species